rnacentral:tRNA from 1 species
GGCACGGUCGCAUAAUCUGGUAUUGCGCCAGCUUGAUGCGUUGGUGGAAUUUUCCGAUUCCAUGCGGGUUCGAAUCCCGCUCCCG